AGAAAAAAAUAUCAGAAAGUAAGAAAGAGAGAAGUAGAGAAGGAGAAGUGAAGAAAAAGAGGAAAACUAGGGUUGAAGAGGAGAGGAAGAAAUUUCUGGAAAAUCAACCGAAAAAGCUCGUUCCGGGAACUAAUCGGUACCGAAGAUGGCAGUGCGAGGCACUAACUUAG